UACAGAGGUAGCAAGCGUUGUUCGGAUUUAUUGGGCGUAAAGGGUCUGUAGGCGGUUCGGAAAGUCGGAUGUGAAAUCCCACAGCUCAACUGUGGAACUGCAUUCGAAACUUCCGAGCUUGAGUGUGAGAGGGGUAAAGGGAAUUCCCGGUGUAAGGGUGAAAUCUGCAGAGAUCGGGAGGAACAUCAGUCGCGAAGGCGCUUUACUGGCUCACUACUGACGCUGAGGGACGAAAGCGUGGGGAGCAAACAGG
rnacentral:rRNA from 1 species